rnacentral:rRNA from 1 species
GCAAGCGUUAUCCGGAAUUAUUGGGCGUAAAGAGCUCGUAGGCGGUUUGUCGCGUCUGCCGUGAAAGUCCGGGGCUCAACUCCGGAUCUGCGGUGGGUACGGGCAGACUAGAGUGAUGUAGGGGAGACUGGAAUUCCUGGUGUAGCGGUGAAAUGCGCAGAUAUCAGGAGGAACACCGAUGGCGAAGGCAGGUCUCUGGGCAUUAACUGACGCUGAGGAGCGAAAGCAUGGGGAGCGAACAGGAUUAGAUACCCUGGUAGUCCAUGCCGUAAACGUUGGGCACUAGGUGUGGGGGACAUUCCACGUUUUCCGCGCCGUAGCUAACGCAUUAAGUGCCCCGCCUGGGGAGUACG